UAUUCUACUGCCCCCUGCUGGGAGACCCGUGCAUCGUUUUGAAGAAGAAGGAAGCCCCGUGCAUUAACUUAUAUACGUCACAUCCGGGAAGAUAGUUCAGUCGAAGGCACCGCAAAUAAACGGAGAGACCUUUCCAGCGAGGCCGAGCCUGCAGUGGUCAUGUCCUUUCCUGUAGUGUCUGCUAGAGAGACAUGAGGUCUGUUUGAGGCCCUGCUGUGUGACUCUUCACGGCAGAGUUAUAGACUAAAGACUUGAGUGUAACGUCCAGCAUCAAGAUGUCAAGGCCUGCGGAGAUGAAGCCAAUCCUUGCCCUGCUCAGACCUCCUGACUGACAUCUGGUGCUCAAGUACGGCUUUGAGCUGAAAAGUAAGGAGUGGAAGACUCAGCGCUGUGUUCGGAGGUGUUCGGCUGCUGAGUGCAGAAGUUGGUCGAGUGCUUCCAGUUGGCCUUAAAGAAGAGUUUACCAGUAACCAGGUGGCUCGAUGAUGGGGCUCCUCAUUUAAAGUGCCAACUUUAUUAAAGGAAUUCACCAAGAUGACAAGACUUUGACACAGAUUUUGUCUGAGAGAUGAACCAGUUCAUCUGCUGAAGGCAACAAAGGUCACAUUUGUACAUCCCCAGUUUGUUCUGUAAUAGGCAAGAGGAAAGAAUAUCUUGUCAAGAGUUUUAAGAUUUAUGUUGGUGGUAAAAUCAUAAAUAAUGUACUAGGUAUUGACAAGAAACCUUGAAAUAAACAUUCUAAACACA